UCCUCCGAACAUUGCUGCCAGAUACACCUAUAUAUAAUAUUAAAUAAUUCAUUAGAGUUUUUUUGUUUGGGAUUUUCUUGAUCUUUAUCCUCUUUCAGAUAAGAAAAGGAUAAGAAAAGAAAGCCAAAAAUUUGGAUAAAGUUUUCCCGGAUAAACUAUUUCCUGUAUCCGGGAAAACUUAGUUGCCAUGUCAACCAUUUCGAUUUACAGAGCUGAAUUCUUAACUUUUUCUAGCCAUGGAUCGAGGCCCCGCCUCAAAUUUCAAAGAACUUCCCUUUCUCCAACUAUGAAAAUGGAUUCGAAAUCAAUGGAAAGGGUGAAAAAGGAAGAACUUUCGAUACAGCUUCAAACGCCGUCAAUACCUCAGCUGGAAAACUCAAGACCGUCUAAUCUUAGGUUUGACCGGCUGCAACCGUCGGAUCAGGAGCUGAAUCAAGAUAACAGAUUAGAAUUUGGAAAAUUCGUGGCAAGAGAGGCCGUCCUUGAUGAAGAAUUCUGGACAGCGGCAUGGCUGAGAGCAGAAAGCCACUGGGAGGAUCGACUGGGUGAAAGAUAUGUUGAUAACUUUAAAAGGAAAUUUGCUGAGCAGGAGUUCAAUGCCAUAAAAGGGCGAUACAAGGGGCAACAAGGACAGACAUAUGCAUGUGUUGUCACGGUUAAGAAAGAGGAGAGGAGUGUCAAACGCACAGUGUUGAAAAGUGUAGUUGGAACCCUUGAUUUCAGCAUUAGGCAUUUGUUGCAUGGAGAGUCUUUUCCAGGGGAACGUGAAAAGCAUCUCUUCUGCAGCAUCAACAGAACACAUAUGAAUAAAUAUAUUUAUGUUUCCAACUUAUGUGUAGCCAAAUCAGCCCGUCGACAAGGCAUUGCUAGAAAUAUGUUGAAUUUUGCUUUUGAAUCAGCCAGAUCAAGUGUUAUUCGGUUGCAGGUGUUGAACUGGUAUAUGUGCAUGUGAAUAGAAACAAUGGACCUGCACUCGAACUGUACCAAAAUAUUGGUUUUGAGAUGGUUGAAAUUGCAAGUUCUCAGUUGUCAAAACAGCAGAUGUACUUACUUUGUUAUAAGACUUAAAGCUCUGUUGAACACAAAAUUCAGGAUAUCUUUUUUUUUUUUCUCUUUUUGAAUGAAAAAAAAAAACCCAUACAUAUAGCUUGUGAACUCGGGGCUUAGGAAUGACUGAGGAUGGGGAAGGAUUAACCCAAAAAUGUAAUUUCCUGACAUUACUACUCAGGGGACAUAUGUAUGUAUUAUUUCCAUAAUCAGAAAUUGUAAAUGCUAUGAAUUUCUUA